rnacentral:rRNA from 1 species
UUUUAAUUGGAAAAGUUUAAGCGGGCGGACGGGUGAGUAACACGUGGGUAACCUGCCCAUAAGACUGGGAUAACUCCGGGAAACCGGGGCUAAUACCGGAUAACAUUUUGAACCGCAUGGUUCGAAAUUGAAAGGCGGCUUCGGCUGUCACUUAUGGAUGGACCCGCGUCGCAUUAGCUAGUUGGUGAGGUAACGGCUCACCAAGGCAACGAUGCGUAGCCGACCUGAGAGGGUGAUCGGCCACACUGGGACUGAGACACGGCCCAGACUCCUACGGGAGGCAGCAGUAGGGAAUCUUCCGCAAUGGACGAAAGUCUGACGGAGCAACGCCGCGUGAGUGAUGAAGGCUUUCGGGUCGUAAAACUCUGUUGUUAGGGAAGAACAAGUGCUAGUUGAAUAAGCUGGCACCUUGACGGUACCUAACCAGAAAGCCACGGCUAACUACGUGCCAGCAGCCGCGGUAAUACGUAGGUGGCAAGCGUUAUCCGGAAUUAUUGGGCGUAAAGCGCGCGCAGGUGGUUUCUUAAGUCUGAUGUGAAAGCCCACGGGCCUCAACCGGUGGAGGGUCAUUGGAUACUGGGGAGACUUGAGUGCAA